ACAGUCCUGUUCAGCCUCCGAGUGCAUGGAUCGCGGGUGUGCUCCAUCACACCCAAUGUGUUUUCAUGUUGAUCCCCAAGAUGGUUGUCUGUCUGUCUUGUUCCUUUCUUUUCUCCUUCCCACCCAAGACAGGGUUUCUCUGUGUAAACAGCCCUGGCUGUUCUGGAACUCAUUUUGUGGACCAGGCUUGCCUUGAACUCAGAGACAGAUCUGCCUGCCUCUGUUUUCCCAGUGCUGGGAUUAAAGCAUGUGCCACCAUGCCCGGCAUAUGGUUGUGUGAGUUUUUUGUUUGUUUGUUUGUUUGUUUUUACAGCCAUAUGAAUGUUUGUUUGGCCAGUAAGGGGUGAUCAAGACUCAAUUUCUCUUUGAUAGCAGGCUUACCAUUCAUCACCACUCUGGUCAUAUCUGUCCUGGAGUUUCCAGGUGGGUGAACACAGGUGCUGGGAAGCUUGCUCAAAAAAGCAUGACAGCCACCUCAUGCCUCGCCCCAUGCAUGUCUUCACCUAGCUUGUUCAUUUCUCUCCUAUGCCGCUAGGUAGCUUUAUAUCAACUUGACACAGGCUAGAGUCAACCGAGAGCUGGAAAGCUCAAUGAGAAAAUGCCUCCAUAAGACAAGCUUGUAGGGCAGUCACUUAAUUCAUGUGUGCUGGGUAGGGCCCACACCAUUGUAGGUGAGUCCAGCCAGCCCUGGGCUGGUGGUCCUGGGUUCUGUAAGAAAGCAGCCUGAGCAAGCCAGUAAGCAGCACUCUGACAUGGCCUCUGCACCAGCUCCUGCCUCCAGAUCCCUGCCUUGGCUUCCCUCAAAUGGACUGUGAUUUAGGAUAUGUAAGCCAAAUAAACCCUUUCCUUCCCAA
rnacentral:lncRNA from 1 species